GAUGAACGCUGGCGGCGUGCCUAAUACAUGCAAGUCGAGCGAACAGAUGAGGAGCUUGCUCCUCUGACGUUAGCGGCGGACGGGUGAGUAACACGUGGAUAACCUACCUAUAAGACUGGGAUAACUUCGGGAAACCGGAGCUACUACCGGAUAAUAUAUUGAACCGCAUGGUUCAAUAGUGAAAGACGGUUUUGCUGUCACUUAUAGAUGGAUCCGCGCCGCAUUAGCUAGUUGGUAAGGUAACGGCUUACCAAGGCAACGAUGCGUAGCCGACCUGAGAGGGUCAUCGGACACACGGGAACUGAGAAACGGCCCAGACUCCUACGGGAGGCAGCAGUAGGGAAUCUUCCGCAAUGGGGGAAAGCCUGACGGAGCAACGCCGGGUGAGGGAUGAAGGACUACGGAUCGUAAAGCGCUGUUAUUAGGGAAGAACAAAUGUGUAAGUAACUAUGAACGUCUUGACGGUACCUGGUCAGAAAGCCACGGCUAACUACGUG
rnacentral:rRNA from 1 species